UUCCGAAUCACCUUUUAUCUCACAAAUUCUCUUUCGAAUAAAAUAUUAUUAUUUUAUUAUUAUUUUCUCGCGUGCGAAAUAUUUUAUCCUAAACUAUUCCUUUCAUCUUUCAUCACUUUUAAACAUUAUAAUUGGCCUCAAUUCGCAUCCGAUAAGCUUUAUUUGUCAUCAUAUCAAAGUAUGGGGUAUUACAAUAGGAUUGCUUGAACUUAAAGUUGAAUAUGAUCAAAUUUGUGAUGCAUGUCAACUAGGUAAACAAAUUAGACCAUCUUUCAAAACCAAGAAGGUUGUCUCCACCUCUCGACCUCUUGAAUUACUGCACAUUGAUUUAUUUGGACCUAUUAGCACAACUAGUCUAAGAGGAAAAUCAUACGGCUUUGUGAUAGUUGAUGACUACUCUAGGUAUACUUGGGUCUACUUCCUUGCUCAUAAGAAUGAUACACUACCAGCAUUUAUAAAUCAUUGUAGGAAAGUUGAAAAUGAAAAAGGACUUGUCAUAGUUAGUAUUAGGAGUGAUCAUGGUGGUGAGUUUGAAGGAGAUGAGUUUGAAAACUUUUGCUAUGAAAAGUGGUUGGAUCAUAGUUUUUUUGCACCUAGAACGCCCUAGCAAAAUUGUCACGACUCGAUGCUCCCCUUGAGCCCAUGACAAUCGUCGCGACGUCUUGAUAAACAUUCAUUGCCUGGAAUGUCAACCGGAACCUCGCAAGGCUUUAAUAUCAGUCUUCACACCUCCCCUAUGAGUAACAGUUGUUAAGUAUCAUUUUUUGAGAGAUUAUAAACUAUUUCCAAAUCAAAACAAUAGAAAAAUAAUUUUUUUCUCACAGGGGCAUUUUGGUCAUUUUUCCUCAAAAAUCUCGAAACCAACUAAAAAUGUAGUAUGCGAGUGGAAAACACAUAUUUCAUAAUAAAAAAUAAGUUUAGAUGUCUAAAACAUUCAUUUAAAGUGAAACUAUAACUAUUUGAAUAUAAUAAAAAUAUUCAAUAAAAUAUUCUAUUUUCUUAUAAAACAAUAUUUAUAGAGUUACCGGUAAAUAAUUUUUUUAACGUAAAAGCUAAAUAAAUUCAUACAUAUUGUAAUACAGAUAACCAAAGCAUAAGAUUUAAUUUACAGUGACACGUGGGCCCAUGAACAACCAAAAGUACCAAAAGCAGUAAACCUACAGUUUUUGAUGAUGCAAGUCCAACUGCAACCCUCAACGAAAUGAGCUAUGUACCGACUAUCUUGAGCCUGAAAUGGGUGAAAAUGAGGGUGGUGAGAUUAUAUAAUCCCAGUGAGCAAACAAAUAUCAUCCAAAAUAUCUAAAGCUAAGUAAAUGGAGACAGAUUAAAAUAGAUUAUCAUACUGUAAUUCAUUACCUUUCAACUCAUUUCAACCAAAUAAAAUCAAUUCAUAUAAAUCGAGUAAUCAACAUGGCUUAUGAAUUUGUUAAAACUUUGGCUCGUGCCAAAAUCAUUCUCAUACUCGGUUGUUAGGGAUACCUUGGCCUGGGGCUAUCCUAACCGAGUUCGCCAAGGUUGUUAAAAAGUCAUGUACGCAUAAAUCAUGUUUUUAUUUUGAAAACAUAGCCGUUCCUUGGCGUUGGCUGAGUUCACGCUCACGUGGUGCUUUGGCGUGAAGUGAACUUUAAAGAUGUACCUCGGGAGUUACCCUACACACCUCUCCGAUCGAGGUAAGAAUAUAACGGGGUUACCGUGCCCCUCUAAUAGGUUGGUCCACGAAACUCGCCCACUGCAGCAAGCUAAACCCACCAAUUCAAUAAAAUCUCAACCGCAUGACAUGGCAAUUAUAUCACAAUCCAGCCUCUCAAGGCUAAAUACACAGUUCAUAUAUUUCAACACAAAUACCAAUUCAACCAUUCAUGCAAAUAUUGUCAUAAGCCAUUCGAUUCAAACCAUGAAUUUACAACACAUGAAAACAGUCUCCAAUUACUCUAUUUUCAAACCAUCAUUUCAUUUCAAGACAAUGUUAUAAAAUCAUUUCAUUAAAUCACAUUUUAAUUACAAAACACAAAGAUUUACCAUUUAACUCAUUUUCCAUAAAAUCACAAAAUCGGAUAAAAACCACUUUAGAUAAUUAAGAUGAUAGUAAGGUUACUC
rnacentral:lncRNA from 1 species